UUCGCUGGGAUGUGGCUAGAGCUCAGGGGAAGCCAGGAGCUGGGAAGAGGAGGGGUGCUGCCUGUGCUGGCUACUCAGUCUCUGUUCUCCCAGCCCAAGCAGGAGCGUAAAAAGCUCUCCUUAGUCCCUGAACUGGGUGACAAGGCCCGGAUGGACCGGAAUCCUCAGGGGGAAGCCACACAUCUUUCUGUGCCCUCCACUCUGGGUUCAGCGGACUGGUGCAUACGAAGACGGACACAGCUCCAUUAACAGGAGCUGUGCACAGUCUGUAUGUGCCAGGCACCGAGCUAAGUGCUUGAAGUACUCAGCUUGCCAUCUUCCUCCCCAGACAGUGGGAUGGAUGGGCUUCUGUGGCCCCGACACAGGGUUAGAAGGACAGAGACUCCAUGUCCCUGACUGGAGCCCGCCGCUUCUUUUCAGAAGGAAAACGUUGCCUGUGGCUCCAGGAGGCAGGAGGCCCAGGAAGGAGGCCAACAAGGGCCCGAGCCAACCCGUUACUCAGCAGAUACUCUCGUGGGAUCCUCCCGGCAGGUGUAUUUCAGAUGAGAAACUGGAGACUCAGAAAGGCCCAAGCACUUGCUCAAGGUCACAGAGACACUGAGUGUGUUUGCGUCUGCUCUGAUCCUGGAUGGCCAGUCACCCAACAGCUUCAGUGUCUCUGAAGCACCAAGCAAGCGAGGGUGACAUCAUUUGAGUUUAUGUCUAAUGGGAAAAGAGAAAACAGACACCUUUUGAAAAUGCUUUCACUUGUCGGCCACAUGAGCGUGACUGGCAAUAACCCCUGUGAGGAAGGAAAUACUUUGGCUGCUUGUGGUUUAGAAAGUCGGGCCCACCCUCAACGUCAUACUUUUGGAGUAAGUGACCUCCCAACUCACUGUGCCCUCCGCUUGAGUCAAGUCAGCGUGGCGGGAACAGGAGAAAGGGGAAUUCCAUCGAGUCUAAAUCUUAGUUCAAGAAUGGGUGACUCAUGCUCCGUUGGCAACCUGCCAUCCUACUAAGCAGACACACACAGUCAGAGCACCACGGCAGGCCUUGGGCCUCCAGAACUUCAGCUUUUAGCCAAUGGCUCUUGUGUGGGCCCAGAGUACAUAUAAUACCUGUCCACAGAGAAAUUGUAAAGUACUUUGGUGAUUAGAGUUAGCAAUCAACUUGACUGAACCUAGAAUCACCUCUUUCCACGUCUGUGAGGGAUUGAUUAUCUUGAUGACAUUAGUUGAUGUGAGAAGACCCAUCUAUGGAUGUGACUGUUUCCUGGAGAGGCUCCUGGACUGUAUAAAAUGGAGAUCCAGCGGAACACCGGCAAGCAUUAACUGUUCUGUUUCUUGACUGUGGAUGCAGUGUGGCCGGCCACUUCAAGCAUCUGCUGCUUUGACUGCCCCACCAGGAUGGACUGUACCUUGAACUAUGAGCCAGAACAAGCCAUUUCUCCAUGGCAUUGCUUUGGUUGGAGUAUUUUUAUCACAGCAACUGAAAAGAAACUAGAAUACCACAAAAAAGUUAGGGAAGCCAUGAAAUUGACAAUAACGGGUGUCAAAUUGAUCUGAAUUCUUUCUGGGUCAUCCCAAGAAGGGGAAAAUAUUGACACGAAUAGAGCAUUCAGCUAAAGUGCACCCCUGUCGGCUUCAUUCUUCGUGAGUUGAGCACCCACUGGGUGCUGGGGACACAGGGAAAAGGCAGACGGGACAGAGAUAAGGCUUUGCUGGCAGAACAGUGAGAGCAUGCAGGGACACAGGAGGAGCUGAGCAGGGCCACUGAGGAGGGCCGACUUGCUCACUCACCCAGGGGAAGCUGGGAUGGUGAAGUACCAGGAGGAAGAGGUUGCUUGGUUAGACCAAAAAAAAAAAAAAAAAAAAAAAAAAAAAAAAAAAAGAGUGAAAUAAAACCACCGAGGCCCGAGAACAUUUAAUAGAAGAAGAGCAUUGGUUGGCUGCGGAAAUAGUACAUUUAAUAGAAGAAGAACUUUGGUUGGCUAAAAUAAAUCCAUUUCCUCUGAAAAAACAAGAACAGUACUUGGUGGAAACACAGACAGCAAGGCUAAGAGUACUCUGCCGAGCCUUGCAUUUUACUGUGAUUGGCGGUGGGAAGUCACAUGAAGAGCAGAGUGCUCUGAGCACAUCCUCUAGUGAGAGCACUCGGAACGACUGUCAUGUCUGUCAAGUCUGUCAAGAGCAACAAGAUGUUUUCAAGAUGUUGAAAAAUAACCAAAAAGGACCAAGAAUCACCUAUUAGCAAGGAAAACUGGAUCUGGGUGUUUCGUGGGCCCUGCAAUUAUCCUUGAGUAAUUAUAAAGAUUACAGUGAGAAAUUUGAAGAAGCAUAUAAUACCCUUUGUAGAGUGGGCUGCCAUAUGCUAAAUGGCAUAUUACAUCUGGUGACACAUUCCAAAGUGUGACUAGAAACUCACAGCAUCCAAAAUGACAUUUGGUCCAAUCAAAUUACUAAUAAAAAUGACUACCUCCUA